GACGUAGGGCGCGAGCGUUGUCCGGAUUUAUUGGGCGUAAAGAGCUCGUAGGCGGCUUGUCGCGUCGUGUGUGAAAUCUCAGGGCUCAACUCUGACAUUGCAUACGAUACGGGCAGGCUUGAGUUCGGUAGGGGAGACUGGAAUUCCUGGUGUAGCGGUGAAAUGCGCAGAUAUCAGGAGGAACACCGGUGGCGAAGGCGGGUCUCUGGGCCGAUACUGACGCUGAGGAGCGAAAAGCGUGGGGAGCGAACAGG
rnacentral:rRNA from 1 species